UAGCUAGUUGGUGGGGUAAGGGCCUACCAAGGCGACGAUCGGUAGCUGGUCUGAGAGGAUGACCAGCCACACUGGAACUGAGACACGGUCCAGACUCCUACGGGAGGCAGCAGUGGGGAAUAUUGGACAAUGGGGGCAACCCUGAUCCAGCAAUGCCGCGUGUGUGAAGAAGGCCUGAGGGUUGUAAAGCACUUUCAGUGGGGAGGAGGGUUGAUAGGUUAAGAGCUAAUUAACUGGACGUUACCCACAGAAGAAGCACCGGCUAACUCCGUGCCAGCAGCCGCGGUAAUACGGAGGGUGCGAGCGUUAAUCGGAAUUACUGGGCGUAAAGGGUGCGUAGGUGGUUGAUUAAGUUAUCUGUGAAAUUCCUGGGCUUAACCUGGGACGGUCAGAUAAUACUGGUUGACUCGAGUAUGGGAGAGGGUAGUGGAAUUUCCGGUGUAGCGGUGAAAUGCGUAGAGAUCGGAAGGAACACCAGUGGCGAAGGCGGCUACCUGGCCUAAUACUGACACUGAGGCACGAAAGCGUGGGGAGCAAACAGGAUUAGAUACCCUGGUAGUCCACGCUGUAAACGAUGUCAACUAGCUGUUGGUUAUAUGAAAAUAAUUGGUGGCGC
rnacentral:rRNA from 1 species